rnacentral:rRNA from 1 species
AGAGUUUGAUCCUGGCUCAGGAUGAACGCUAGCGACAGGCUUAACACAUGCAAGUCGAGGGGCAGCACAGGUAGCAAUACCGGGUGGCGACCGGCGCACGGGUGAGUAACGCGUAUGCAACUUGCCUAUCAGAGGGGGAUAACCCGGCGAAAGUCGGACUAAUACCGCAUGAAGCAGGGAUCCCGCAUGGGAAUAUUUGCUAAAGAUUCAUCGCUGAUAGAUAGGCAUGCGUUCCAUUAGGCAGUUGGCGGGGUAACGGCCCACCAAACCGACGAUGGAUAGGGGUUCUGAGAGGAAGGUCCCCCACAUUGGUACUGAGACACGGACCAAACUCCUACGGGAGGCAGCAGUGAGGAAUAUUGGUCAAUGGCCGAGAGGCUGAACCAGCCAAGUCGCGUGAGGGAUGAAGGUUCUAUGGAUCGUAAACCUCUUUUAUAAGGGAAUAAAGUGCGGGACGUGUCCCGUUUUGUAUGUACCUUAUGAAUAAGGAUCGGCUAACUCCGUGCCAGCAGCCGCGGUAAUACGGAGGAUCCGAGCGUUAUCCGGAUUUAUUGGGUUUAAAGGGUGCGUAGGCGGCCUUUUAAGUCAGCGGUGAAAGUCUGUGGCUCAACCAUAGAAUUGCCGUUGAAACUGGGAGGCUUGAGUAUGUUUGAGGCAGGCGGAAUGCGUGGUGUAGCGGUGAAAUGCAUAGAUAUCACGCAGAACCCCGAUUGCGAAGGCAGCCUGCCAAGCCAUUACUGACGCUGAUGCACGAAAGCGUGGGGAUCAAACAGGAUUAGAUACCCUGGUAGUCCACGCAGUAAACGAUGAUCACUAGCUGUUUGCGAUACACUGUAAGCGGCACAGCGAAAGCGUUAAGUGAUCCACCUGGGGAGUACGCCGGCAACGGUGAAACUCAAAGGAAUUGACGGGGGCCC